rnacentral:rRNA from 1 species
UACGUAGGGGGCAAGCGUUAUCCGGAUUUACUGGGUGUAAAGGGAGCGUAGACGGCCAGACAAGUCUGAAGUGAAAAUCCAGCGCUUAACGCUGGAAGUGCUUUGGAAACUGCCGGGCUGGAGUGCAGGAGGGGCAGGCGGAAUUCCUAGUGUAGCGGUGAAAUGCGUAGAUAUUAGGAGGAACACCAGUGGCGAAGGCGGCCUGCUGGACUGCAACUGACGUUGAGGCUCGAAAGCGUGGGUAGCAAACAGG